rnacentral:rRNA from 1 species
GUCCACGCCCUAAACGAUGUCUACUAGUUGUCGGGUCUUAAUUGACUUGGUAACGCAGCUAACGCGUGAAGUAGACCGCCUGGGGGAGUACGGUCGCAAGAUUAAAACUCAAAGGAAUUGACGGGGACCCGCACAAGCGGUGGAUGAUGUGGAUUAAUUCGAUGCAACGCGAAAAACCUUACCUACCCUUGACAUGGACGGAAUGCCGAAGAGAUUUGGCAGUGCUCGAAAGAGAGCCGUCACACAGGUGCUGCAUGGCUGUCGU